rnacentral:rRNA from 1 species
CCUACGGGUGGCAGCAGUGAGGAAUAUUGGUCAAUGGGCGGGAGCCUGAACCAGCCAAGUCGCGUGAGGGACGACGGUCCUAUGGAUUGUAAACCUCUUUUGUCGGGGAACAAAGGCGCCCACGGGUGGGCGGAUGAGUGUACCCGAAGAAAAAGCAUCGGCUAACUCCGUGCCAGCAGCCGCGGUAAUACGGAGGAUGCGAGCGUUAUCCGGAUUUAUUGGGUUUAAAGGGUGCGUAGGCGGACAGUCAAGUCAGCGGUAAAAAUGCGGUGCUCAACGCCGUACAGCCGUUGAAACUGGCAGUUCUGAGUACAGUAGAGGUGGGCGGAAUUCGUGGUGUAGCGGUGAAAUGCUUUGAUAUCACGAAGAACUCCGAUUGCGAAGGCAGCUCACUGGACUGCAACUGACACUGAGGCUUGAAAGUGUGGGUAUCAAACAGGAUUAGAUACCCCAGUAGUC